GGGGGCGUGGCGGAAUUGGCAUACGCAGGAGACUUAAAAUCUCUCGCCGCAAGGAUUGAGGGUUCGAGUCCCUCCGCCCCUA
rnacentral:tRNA from 1 species